UUAAGCGACUAAGCGUACACGGUGGAUGCCCUGGCAGUCAGAGGCGAUGAAGGACGUGCUAAUCUGCGAAAAGCGUCGGUAAGGUGAUAUGAACCGUUAUAACCGGCGAUGUCCGAAUGGGGAAACCCAGUGCAAUUCGUUGCACUAUCGUUAACUGAAUACAUAGGUUAACGAGGCGAACCGGGGGAACUGAAACAUCUAAGUACCCCGAGGAAAAGAAAUCAACCGAGAUUCCCCCAGUAGCGGCGAGCGAACGGGGAGCAGCCCAGAGUCUGAAUCAGCUUGUGUGUUAGUGGAACGGUCUGGAAAGUCCGACGGUACAGGGUGAUAGUCCCGUACACCAAAAUGCACAGGUUGUGAACUCGAAGAGUAGGGCGGGACACGUGGUAUCCUGUCUGAAUAUGGGGGGACCAUCCUCCAAGGCUAAAUACUCCUGACUGACCGAUAGUGAACCAGUACCGUGAGGGAAAGGCGAAAAGAACCCCGGCGAGGGGAGUGAAAAAGAACCUGAAACCGUGUACGUACAAGCAGUGGGAGCACCUUCGGGUGUGACUGCGUACCUUUUGUAUAAUGGGUCAGCGACUUAUAUUCUGUAGCAAGGUUAACCGUAUAGGGGAGCCGCAGGGAAACCGAGUCUUAACUGGGCGUUAAGUUGCAGGGUAUAGACCCGAAACCCGGUGAUCUAGCCAUGGGCAGGUUGAAGGUUGGGUAACACUAACUGGAGGACCGAACCGACUAAUGUUGAAAAAUUAGCGGAUGACUUGUGGCUGGGGGUGAAAGGCCAAUCAAACCGGGAGAUAGCUGGUUCUCCCCGAAAGCUAUUUAGGUAGCGCCUCGUGAACUCAUCUUCGGGGGUAGAGCACUGUUUCGGCUAGGGGGUCAUCCCGACUUACCAACCCGAUGCAAACUACGAAUACCGAAGAAUGUUAUCACGGGAGACACACGGCGGGUGCUAACGUCCGUCGUGAAGAGGGAAACAACCCAGACCGCCAGCUAAGGUCCCAAAGUCAUGGUUAAGUGGGAAACGAUGUGGGAAGGCACAGACAGCCAGGAUGUUGGCUUAGAAGCAGCCAUCAUUUAAAGAAAGCGUAAUAGCUCACUGGUCGAGUCGGCCUGCGCGGAAGAUGUAACGGGGCUAAACCAUGCACCGAAGCUGCGGCAGCGACACUAUGUGUUGUUGGGUAGGGGAGCGUUCUGUAAGCCUGCGAAGGUGUGCUGUGAGGCAUGCUGGAGGUAUCAGAAGUGCGAAUGCUGACAUAAGUAACGAUAAAGCGGGUGAAAAGCCCGCUCGCCGGAAGACCAAGGGUUCCUGUCCAACGUUAAUCGGGGCAGGGUGAGUCGACCCCUAAGGCGAGGCCGAAAGGCGUAGUCGAUGGGAAACAGGUUAAUAUUCCUGUACUUGGUGUUACUGCGAAGGGGGGACGGAGAAGGCUAUGUUAGCCGGGCGACGGUUGUCCCGGUUUAAGCAUGUAGGCUGGUUAUCCAGGCAAAUCCGGAUAAUCAAGGCUGAGGUGUGAUGACGAGGCACUACGGUGCUGAAGUAACAAAUGCCCUGCUUCCAGGAAAAGCCUCUAAGCAUCAGGUAACAUCAAAUCGUACCCCAAACCGACACAGGUGGUCAGGUAGAGAAUACCAAGGCGCUUGAGAGAACUCGGGUGAAGGAACUAGGCAAAAUGGUGCCGUAACUUCGGGAGAAGGCACGCUGGUGUGUAGGUGAAGUCCCUGCGGAUGGAGCUGAGACCAGUCGAAGAUACCAGCUGGCUGCAACUGUUUAUUAAAAACACAGCACUGUGCAAACACGAAAGUGGACGUAUACGGUGUGACGCCUGCCCGGUGCCGGAAGGUUAAUUGAUGGGGUUAUCCGUAAGGAGAAGCUCUUGAUCGAAGCCCCGGUAAACGGCGGCCGUAACUAUAACGGUCCUAAGGUAGCGAAAUUCCUUGUCGGGU
rnacentral:rRNA from 1 species